rnacentral:rRNA from 1 species
GACGAACGCUGGCGGCGUGCUUAACACAUGCUAGUCGAACGGAAAGGCCCUGCUUUUGUGGGGUGCUCGAGUGGCGAACGGGUGAGUAACACGUGAGUAACCUGCCCUUGACUUUGGGAUAACUUCAGGAAACUGGGGCUAAUACCGGAUAGGAGCUCCUGCUGCAUGGUGGGGGUUGGAAAGUUUCGGCGGUUGGGGAUGGACUCGCGGCUUAUCAGCUUGUUGGUGGGGUAGUGGCUUACCAAGGCUUUGACGGGUAGCCGGCCUGAGAGGGUGACCGGCCACAUUGGGACUGAGAUACAGCCCAGACUCCUACGGGAGGCAGCAGUGGGGAAUAUUGCACAAUGGGCGGAAGCCUGAUGCAGCAACGCCGCGUGCGGGAUGACGGCCUUCGGGUUGUAAACCGCUUUCGCCUGUGACGAAGCGUGAGUGACGGUAAUGGGUAAAGAAGCACCGGCUAACUACGUGCCAGCAGCCGCGGUGAUACGUAGGGUGCGAGCGUUGUCCGGAUUUAUUGGGCGUAAAGGGCUCGUAGGUGGUUGAUCGCGUCGGAAGUGUAAUCUUGGGGCUUAACCCUGAGCGUGCUUUCGAUACGGGUUGACUUGAGGAAGGUAGGGGAGAAUGGGAUUCCUGGUGGAGCGGUGGAAUGCGCAGAUAUCAGGAGGAACACCAGUGGCGAAGGCGGUUCUCUGGGCCUUUCCUGACGCUGAGGAGCGAAAGCGUGGGGAGCGAACAGGCUUAGAUACCCUGGUAGUCCACGCUGUAAACGGUGGGUACUAGGUGUGGGGUCCAUUCCACGGGUUCCGUGCCGUAGCUAACGCUUUAAGUACCCCGCCUGGGGAGUACGGCCGCAAGGCUAAAACUCAAAGGAAUUGACGGGGCCCCGCACAAGCGGCGGAGCAUGCGGAUUAAUUCGAUGCAACGCGUAGAACCUUACCUGGGUUUGACAUGGAUCGGGAGUGCUCAGAGAUGGGUGUGCCUCUUUUGGGGUCGGUUCACAGGUGGUGCAUGCCUGUCGUCAGCUCGUGUCGUGAGAUGUUGGGUUAAGUCCCGCAACGAGCGCAACCCUUGUUCACUGUUGCCAGCACGUUAUGGUGGGGACUCAGUGGAGACCGCCGGGGUCAACUCGGAGGAAGGUGGGGAUGACGUCAAGUCCUCAUGCCCCUUAUGUCCAGGGCUUCACGCAUGCUACAAUGGCUGGUACAGAGAGUGGCGAGCCUGUGAGGGUGAGCGAAUCUCGGAAAGCCGGUCUCAGUUCGGAUUGGGGUCUGCAACUCGACCUCAUGAAGUCGGAGUCGCUAGUAAUCGCAGAUCAGCAACGCUGCGGUGAAUACGUUCCCGGG